rnacentral:rRNA from 1 species
AUUGAACGCUGGCGGCAUGCUUUACACAUGCAAGUCGAACGGCAGCGCGGGCUUCGGCCUGGCGGCGAGUGGCGAACGGGUGAGUAAUGCAUCGGAACGUGCCCAGUAGUGGGGGAUAGCCCGGCGAAAGCCGGAUUAAUACCGCAUACGACCUGAGGGUGAAAGCGGGGGACCGAAAGGCCUCGCGCGAUUGGAGCGGCCGAUGUCGGAUUUGCUAGUUGGUGGGGUAAAGGCUUACCAAGGCGACGAUCCGUAGCUGGUCUGAGAGGACGAGCAGCCACACUGGGACUGAGACACGGCCCAGACUCCUACGGGAGGCAGCAGUGGGGAAUUUUGGGCAAUGGGGGCAACCCUUAUCCAGCCAUGCCGCGUGCGGGAAGAAGGCCUUCGGGUUGUAAACCGCUUUUGUUCGGGAAGAAAUCCUCUGGGCUAAUACCACGGGGGGAUGACGGUACCGGAAGAAUAAGCACCGGCUAACUACGUG